rnacentral:rRNA from 1 species
GACGAACGCUGGCGGCGUGCCUAAUACAUGCAAGUCGAACGCAGUGGGGACGGGUGAGUAACACGUGGGUAACCUCCCAUCAGAGGGGAUAACACUUGGAAACAGGUGCUAAACCGAUACUGAUGGAUGGACACGAGGUGCAUUAGCUAGUUGGUGAGGUAACGGCUCACCAAGGCCACGAGGCAUAGCCGACCUGAGAGGGUGAUCGGCCGAACGGGGACUGAGACACGGCCCAGACGCCUACGGUAGGCAGCAUUAGGGAAGCUGCGGAAAUGGACGAAAGUCUGACCGAGCAACGCCGCGUGAGUGAAGAAGGGUUUCGGAUCGUAAAGCUCUGUUGUUAGAGAAGCGGUAUCUAACCAGAAAGCCACGGCUAACUACGUGCCAGCAGCCGCGGUAAUUC